rnacentral:rRNA from 1 species
GGAAUCUUCCGCAAUGGACGAAAGUCUGACGGAGCAACGCCGCGUGAACGAAGAAGGCCUUCGGGUCGUAAAGUUCUGUUGUUAGGGAAGAACAAGUACCAGAGUAACUGCUGGUACCUUGACGGUACCUAACCAGAAAGCCACGGCUAACUACGUGCCAGCAGCCGCGGUAAUACGUAGGUGGCAAGCGUUGUCCGGAAUUAUUGGGCGUAAAGCGCGUGCAGGUGGUUCCUUAAGUCUGAUGUGAAAGCCCACGGCUCAACCGUGGAGGGUCAUUGGAAACUGGGGAACUUGAGUGCAGAAGAGGAAAGUGGAAUUCCAAGUGUAGCGGUGAAAUGCGUAGAGAUUUGGAGGAACACCAGUGGCGAAGGCGACUUUCUGGUCUGUAACUGACACUGAGGCGCGAAAGCGUGGGGAGCAAACAGGAUUAGAUACCCCGG